GGCGAACGGGUGAGUAACACGUGAGGAACCUGCCCCGAAGACCGGGAUAACGCCGGGAAACUGGUGCUAAUACCGGAUGCCCUCGCCGGAUCGCAUGGUUCGGUGAGGAAAUGGAUUCCGCUUCGGGAUGGCCUCGCGUCCUAUCAGCUUGUUGGUGGGGUAACGGCCCACCAAGGCAGCGACGGGUAGCUGGUCUGAGAGGAUGUCCAGCCACACUGGGACUGAGACACGGCCCAGACUCCUACGGGAGGCAGCAGCUAGGAAUCUUGCGCAAUGGACGAAAGUCUGACGCAGCGACGCCGCGUGCGGGAUGAAGGCCCUAGGGUCGUAAACCGCUUUCAGCAGGGACGAAAAUGACGGUACCUGCAGAAGAAGCCCCGGCCAACUACGUGCCAGCAGCCGCGG
rnacentral:rRNA from 1 species